rnacentral:lncRNA from 1 species
GGAACCUCUUCCCACUGUAUAUGCAGUAUGCUGCACCCUCUGGAUGAGAGUGGUGUGCAGACCUACAGGUGAGACUCAAUAGAAAUAGUCAACACAAAUGUGAAACAAAUUGUGGCAAAGAGAAUGAUGGAAAGCACCAUACAAAUACACUAUAAUGGAUGUUGAAACCUGAAUGUUGGAGCCAGCAUACUGUUGGCCCUCUUGCGCUCCUUGACUGCUCUGUUAGCUGGCUGCCGGUACCUUAAUUGCUGGCCCCAUUAUGGCUUGUUAAUUGCUCAUCUCCUGUGUCUCUGGCAGUUCUGUUCGAGGCUGCCUGUGUGCAAUACGUCUCUGACAGCACCAUGAAAAUCGUCUUCUUCAACGGCAAGCCCUCCAUAGUUAUAUGACACCGUGCAGGGCAUACACUCAGUCACUCUAGAUCAGAUUGUUAUGCAAAGCAUGCAGCUGCCCAAGAAGCGUGACACUUGACCCCAGACCCGUGUGGCCACUGUGUACAUUGUGACAACAUGAUCAAUACUACAGUAUUUUUCCACCCGAGAACAGCUUUCUGACUACACAACUGAAGAACCCGCAGGAUGGAUUCACUCGGCUCACUCUUCCAUUGCCACGCCCUGCAUAACCAAAACAGGAUGACCUCAUCACCAGCCUCCACUCAUCAGACUUACUCACCCAGCAUCUCCAGCAUGGCUGCACUCAGCUGGUUCCACUCCCCUGGCAUGGUGGCACCCUCCUUGGCAACGGCACAGUUUAACAUGUGGUACCACUCAUGUCCCCCAGAGGGCACAGCUUCCUGCCCUCGCCCAACAGCACUGCCAACAAGUCUGUGCUUGUCCCAGAGAUGA